UUAAGCCUACUAGCAUUAUUAAUUUGUAAUAAAUUGUUAUAAGGACAUGAGUUUACUUCUGUGUGCCACUGUCAUUGAAAAACAAUUUCUCUGUUCAUCAAACUGUUCACAAUAUUUAUGUGUAGUUUGUGUGAGACUCGAGUUAGAGUCAAAUUCGGACAGAGGUAGAGGAGUCAUUUAAUGAUUUCACUGAAUAGUGAAUAUGAUUCAUUUAUUCAGUAAAUUUCAAGCUUGUAAGUUGUAUCAACAACAAUUCUAAUAUUAAUAAGCUUAGAAAUAUAGUGAUGGUAUUUCUAAAUAAUUGAGCUGUUUUUCUCAUUGGAUUCUACUCGAAAUUGCUGUGACUCAGCUCAAAUGAAAAUUGACUCUGACUCAAACACAAAUUGAAAUGUUGGGAAAUGAUUCAAACAACUGUGGCUUAAUUCCAGGUCUGGCAGAGUGAGGGAGCUUCAAAAUAAUUUUAUUUCUAAAUGCAUACAUAACCUAAUUAAGUUUGAAACCACAUUUUUUCAAACGAUUAAAAAUAUAUAAUAAAUUCUGUGUUAGUUGUGUGAAGUAAUAGUAAGAGAAAUAAAAUAUAAAACAUUCCCAUGAGAAUCUUCCAAAAUUCAAUAAAGUAAAAGAGCUAGAAGUGUAUGUAAUGUUUUUUAGAGUUUACAUUGCUUUUAACAACAUAACUGAUGCUUCCUUACUGUUUACUUGCUGUGUUUUAGCAUUCUGUUACUUGAGAAGAAAGUGUAAAAGUAUGGUUGCUAACACAUAGCGGAACCAUACAAGUAUGUAUAAUUUUGUUGUGAGCUUUAUUUUCAAUGUUUUAACUUAAAUGUUUGCUUGAACCUCGACCUACAAUUUGUGUUAAAGUGAAUGUAGCCUAUACUGUAGAAAAUGUUGUUGAAAAAAUAAAUUAAUUCAUUACUGUUACAUAUACUGGAUUUGGCAUUAUUUUUAUUAGAUAAUCUGAAAGAAACCACCCAAUGAUAGAACAUGCUAUAACAAUUUCUUUUGAUGUGUGAAUCAUGUUGAUAAAAGCCUUUUUAUACUUUGUGUAAAUCUUGACUUUAUCAGUAUUUAUUUAUUAAAAGUUGAUUGAAAGCA